AGGAAACGAGCAAAGGGGCCAGCCUCAGGCCCCACAACAAACUGGGGCA
rfam:Pan troglodytes isolate Yerkes chimp pedigree #C0471 (Clint) chromosome 10, whole genome shotgun sequence.